UGGAUAUCUUGGGGAAUUAAUUCUAGGCAGAGGAAACAGCAAGGGCAAAAGCCCUAAAUUGGUCAUGUCUGUGCCCUUCUGAAAAUGCAAAAAGGCUGAUGCAAGUGGAACCAGGUGAGUGAAGAGAGAGUAGAAAGAGAUGAGAUGCUGGUGAGAGAGAACGAGGCAGGAAAAGGAGAGAAGGAAUACUAAAUAUAUUUUUCCAUUUAUGUGAUGAAUGUGUUCACAGUACACAAACCAUAGUGUGUGUGGUAGUAAAGAGGAGCAGCACUAGAGGCAUUUUCCAUAGACUGAAGGCAAGAAGGUGGAGGAGGGGUGCUUUUAAGUAAAGACAGCUAAGGUGAAUCCUGAACCGCCAGAAGUAGACAACCAAGUGAAAGAAGGGGAAAGCGUUCCAGACAGAGGUGGGGGAGAAUCUGCAAAGGCACUGAGACCCAAGAAGUCACUGGUUCCUCGGGAGUACAUGUGUUCAAUAAGACUGAAAUCUAUGGUAUAUGGUGAAGGAACUGGGAAAAAACGUGGCCCUGGAGAUAUAAAGAGCUAUGACACGUAAAGAGCUUGAAAGUCUAAACUCCCAUCCUUAAAGCAAGAAAAAGCUGAACAAACUGAAAAGAAAUAAUUUUCUUGGACUCACCAGAGAAUUGUCACUGGGCAAAACCUACUCCAAAAUCUGGGUAAUAGGCAAAUACAGAGAAUCACGGCUGAGAUCAGUUUAGCUGGAGUAGAAGACACUGGAGCCACAAACUGGAUGGGCCCUAAAUCCAAUGACCAGUGCCCCUACGAGGAGAGGGAGAUUUGAAGACACAAAAGAAACAGGGAAGAAAGCCAAGGAACACCAAGGAUUGUCAUCAACCACAGAAGCUAGAAGAACCAAGGAAGGAUUCUUCCCUAUAGCCUUCAGAGGGAGCAUGGCCCUGCUGACACCUUGAUUUUGACUUCUAGCCUCCUGAAGUGUUAUGCCCAUUUGUUGAAAGCCUACUAUGUGCAGUUGCUGAGUUAGGGCCUGCGGUUCAUUGGUGAACAAAACUAGAUCCCUUGCUUCAUGGUGCUUAUUAUCUAGUAGACGAGGUGGAAAUCAAGCUAAUCAUCAAACAAAUAAGUGUAGAAUUUUAAACUG
rnacentral:lncRNA from 1 species